rnacentral:rRNA from 1 species
UACGGGAGGCAGCAGUGGGGAAUAUUGCGCAAUGGGGGGAACCCUGACGCAGCCAUGCCGCGUGAAUGAAGAAGGCCUUCGGGUUGUAAAGUUCUUUCGGUAUUGAGGAAGGUUGAUGUGUUAAUAGUACAUCAAAUUGACGUUAAAUACAGAAGAAGCACCGGCUAACUCCGUGCCAGCAGCCGCGGUAAUACGGAGGGUGCGAGCGUUAAUCGGAAUAACUGGGCGUAAAGGGCACGCAGGCGGUUAUUUAAGUGAGGUGUGAAAGCCCCGGGCUUAACCUGGGAAUUGCAUUUCAGACUGGGUAACUAGAGUACUUUAGGGAGGGGUAGAAUUCCACGUGUAGCGGUGAAAUGCGUAGAGAUGUGGAGGAAUACCGAAGGCGAAGGCAGCCCCUUGGGAAUGUACUGACGCUCAUGUGCGAAAGCGUGGGGAGCAAACAGGAUUAGAUACCCUGGUAGUCCACGCUGUAAACGCUGUCGAUUUGGGGGUUGGGGUUUAACUCUGGCGCCCGUAGCUAACGUGAUAAAUCGACCGCCUGG